AUACUUACCUGGAAGGAGAGAUACUGUAAUCACAAAGAUGCUUUUUACAUGCCAAGGCUAACUAUUUUACACUCCAGAUAUGCUGACCUCUGCUAUUUCCCCAAAUGCAGGAAAUUUGACUGUGUAAUUUGUGGUUGUAGAGGACUGCAUUCAUGCUCUCCCCGU